rnacentral:lncRNA from 1 species
GAAUCUCUUUCCUUGCUUCAAUACUUUGAAGAAAGGCAAGCUUUUAUCAGUGGCUCUGGAGAUGAAGCGGCUGAGGGCGGCUAUCCGGCCAUUGAGACUUUGGACCUCCUUUGGUUUCUGAGGUGAACUCAUUUCUAUUAUAGCCGCCACCUUUGCCGGGUUUGCCUCAAUUCCUCUCUGAUUUACAAUGUAUCCCAAGAACUGGCCCGAUGCCACUCCGAAAGUGCACUUGAGGGGAUUCAACUUCAUGUUAUACCUUCUGAGUAUCUGGAAGGUUUGGUCAAUGUGACUCACGUGUUCGGCCGCCUGGAGGCUUUUGACCAACAUGUCGUCCACGUAGACCUCCAUGGUUUUGCCAAUGAGUUCGGCAAACAUCAUGUUGACUAACCUCUGAUAUGUGGCCCCGGCAUUUUUCAAUCCGAAGGGCAUGACUUUGUAGCAAUACAGCCCCCUGUCCGUGAUGAAUGAUGUAGCUUCCUCAUCAGGUCGGAACAUGGGUAUUUGGUUGUACCCUGAGUACGCAUCCAUGAAGCUAAGUAGUUCAUGCCCAGCAGUGGAGUCGACCAGUUGAUCAAUUCUUGGAAGUGGGAAGCUGUCCUUGGGGCAUGCCUUAUUCAGGUUUGUGAAGUCCACACAGACCCUCCAUUUCCCGCUGGACUUUUUCACUAGAACCGGGUUGGAUAUCCACCUCGGGUAUAUGGCCUCUCUGAUGAAACCACUGCGAUCGAGUUUACUUACUUCAUCUUUCAGCGCCUCGUACCGUUCCGGAUUCAGCGCGCGCCUCUUCUGUCUAUGGGGGGCAUAGGAGGGGUUGAUGUUAAGGUGAUGGCAACUGAUCCUGGGAUCUAUCCCCACCAUAUCCUCAUGUUUCCAUGCGAAGACAUCUAGGUUUUCUUUCAGGAAUCGUAUCAUCUCAAUUUUUGCUUCAGGCGAUAAUGACUUCCCUAUGCGCAAGACUUGAUUGGGGUCUUCUGGAUUGACUGGAAAAGUUUCCAGUUCUUCCAUUGGGGUCGCGUUUGGUUCAUAAUCAAUUAUUCGGGGAUCUAACUCGUCAAGAGGGUGUCCUUGUUCAGGGGCCUCUUCCAUUAUGACAUCUUCCUCUUGUUCAGAGGUAUGCCCUUGUUCAGGGGCGUCGAGCAUCUCCACGUCCGUACCGGCUUCAGCGGGUACUUCUGCUAGAAUUACAUUGACGGUCCAGGCUCCGAUUUGCGUAGCGAGUUCAGGUAGCAUGCCCUGGAGCUCAUCUGAUCGCCCCGAACCGUUGCAAUCCUACGUUCGGUUGGGAAUUUCAUGCACAGAUAGUGAAUGGACGUCACAGCCCAAAGAUCUUUUAGAGCCGGUCUGCCCAACACCCCAUGAUAAGCCGACCUAUGAUCUACCACCAGAAAUUCCAUGAAAUGCUGGGCGACCAGGGGGGCCGAACCCAUUUCCACAGGCAGGGUAAUCCGCCCUCGUGGGAUGAUGCUGUCCCCAGUGAAUCCGAACAGCGGGUCGGUCAUGGGGAUUAACCCAUGUUCAAUUUGCAUUUUGUCAAAAGUGGAGCCAAACAAUAUGUUCACGGAGCUGCCGUUGUCAACGAGCAUGCGUUUUAAUCCGUUUCUAGCCACUACGGC